GAUCAUGGCUCAGGAUGAACGCUGGCGGCGUGCUUAACACAUGCAAGUCGAGCGAAGCACUUAGGAAAGAUUCUUCGGAUGAUUUCCUAUUUGACUGAGCGGCGGACGGGUGAGUAACGCGUGGGUAACCUGCCUCAUACAGGGGGAUAACAGUUAGAAAUGACUGCUAAUACCGCAUAAGACCACAGCACCGCAUGGUGCAGGGGUAAAACGUACCGUCGGUGUNAGAUGACCGG
rnacentral:rRNA from 1 species